UACGGGGGGAGCAAGCGUUGUUCGGAUUUACUGGGCGUAAAGAGCUCGUAGGCGGUCUGUCGCGUCUGCUGUGAAAACUCAGGGCUUAACCCUGAGCUUGCAGUGGGUACGGGCAGACUAGAGUGCGGUAGGGGAGACUGGAAUUCCUGGUGUAGCGGUGAAAUGCGCAGAUAUCAGGAGGAACACCGGUGGCGAAGGCGGGUCUCUGGGCCGUAACUGACGCUGAGGAGCGAAAGCAUGGGGAGCGAACAGG
rnacentral:rRNA from 1 species